rnacentral:rRNA from 1 species
UUCUGCUAAGUCGCAAGACGAUGUAUAGGAGCUGACGCCUGCCCGGUGCUGGAAGGUGAAGGGGAUCGGUUCGGGCAAGCGAAGCAGUGAACUUAAGCCCCAGUAAACGGCGGCCGUAACUAUAACGGUCCUAAGGUAGCGAAAUUCCUUGUCGGGUAAGUGCCGACCCGCACGAAAGGCGUAACGAUUUGGGCACUGUCUCAACAACAGACUCGGUGAAAUUGUAAUUCCGGUGAAGAUGCCGGAUACCUGCGACAGGACGGAAAGACCCCAUGGAGCUUUACUGUAGCUUGACAUUGGGUCUUGGUACUACAUGUACAGGAUAGGUGGGAGGCUUUGAAACCAGGACGCCAGUUUUGGCGGAGCCAUCCUUGGGAUACCACCCUUGUAG